rnacentral:misc_RNA from 1 species
GUGAAUCAUCAAAUCUUUGAACGCAAAUUGCACUCUCCGGUUUUCCGGGAGAGUAUGCCUGUUUGAGGGUCAGCCUAAAAAAAAUCGACAUUGUUGCUGUUAUUUAAUGGUGACUUUCGUCGGAGAUUGGGUUAUCUUAAACCUUUUUUUUUUUUUGUUUUAAGCACUUUAAAUUUUUUUUUCCCGUUUCCUUAACCUUUUUUAAGUUUUUUUUUUCUUUUAGUUUUAGGUUUUUUGGUUUUUUUUUUA